UACGUAGGUGGCGAGCGUUGUCCGGAUUUACUGGGCGUAAAGAGCGCGCAGGCGGUCGUACAAGUCGCGUGUGAAAGCCCCCGGCUCAACUGGGGAGGGUCACGCGAUACUGUUCGACUCGAAGGCAGGAGAGGGAAGUGGAAUUCCCGGUGUAGUGGUGAAAUGCGUAGAGAUCGGGAGGAACACCAGUGGCGAAGGCGGCCAUCUGGAUCAACACUGACGCUGAGGCACGAAAGCGUGGGGAGCAAACAGG
rnacentral:rRNA from 1 species